rnacentral:lncRNA from 1 species
AGAUGAGAUUUUCAGCGUUGGUUACCUCAGGCUUCAUGUCCCUUGUCUUCCCAGGGUAAUAGGUUCAAUGAACUGCCUUUGUACCUUGACUGCCAUAGGCCUUGAUACAGACAUUAUUUUCCAUCUGAUAACUUCUGCCUUUCACGUACUUCGGACUAUAUGCUACUUGCACAUUGAAACAUUUGGAUUUGGACUUUCAACUUUUAUUCUUUUCAGUACACCCUUGUCCUUAGACUGAGGUCUAAAAAUCAAAUUAAGUCAAUUAAAAACUUCUCCUGAUGCUGUCAGAGACAUACGGGAUUGUCUGAACCAAGAGAAUGUCAGCAGUUUUUGUCACCAUGAAAUGCCUCCAAAUGAUAGGAUACACACCUGGCAUACAGCCUGAAGGAAUCAUAAAUCUAAAGGGAAAGGUAAGUGAAAAUAAAUGUGAAAUGCCAAUAGCA